ACGGCGGACGGGUGCGUAACGCGUAUGUAACCUACCUUUGACAGGGGGAUAACAUCGAGAAAUUGGUACUAAUACCCCAUAACAUCACCGGAGGCAUCUUCGGUGGUUGAAAACUCAGGUGGUCAGAGAUGGACAUGCGUUGUAUUAGCUAGUUGGUGAGGUAACGGCUCACCAAGGCGACGAUACAUAGGGGGACUGAGAGGUCAACCCCCCACAUUGGUACUGAGACACGGCCAAACUCCUACGGAAGGCAGCAG
rnacentral:rRNA from 1 species